rnacentral:rRNA from 1 species
AACGAACGCUGGCGGCAUGCCUAACACAUGCAAGUCGAACGAGACCUUCGGGUCUAGUGGCGCACGGGUGCGUAACGCGUGGGAAUCUGCCCUUGGGUUCGGAAUAACAGUUAGAAAUGACUGCUAAUACCGGAUAAUGUCUUCGGACCAAAGAUUUAUCGCCCAGGGAUGAGCCCGCGUAGGAUUAGCUAGUUGGUGAGGUAAAGGCUCACCAAGGCGACGAUCCUUAGCUGGUCUGAGAGGAUGAUCAGCCACACUGGGACUGAGACACGGCCCAGACUCCUACGGGAGGCAGCAGUGGGGAAUUUUGGACAAUGGGGGCAACCCUGAUCCAGCAAUGCCGCGUGAGUGAAGAAGGCCUCGGGUUGUAAGCUCUUUGUCUAGGGAAGAAACGGU